rnacentral:rRNA from 1 species
CCUACGGGUGACAGCAGUGGGGAAUAUUGCACAAUGGGGGAAACCCUGAUGCAGCAACGCCGCGUGAGUGAUGACGGCCUUCGGGUUGUAAAGCUCUGUCUUCAGGGACGAAAAUGACGGUACCUGAGGAGGAAGCCACGGCUAACUACGUGCCAGCAGCCGCGGUAAUACGUAGGGGGCGAGCGUUGUCCGGAUUUACUGGGCGGACGGGGAGCGUAGGCGGUCUUUUAAGUGAGAUGUGAAAUACUCGGGCUCAACUUGAGUGCUGCAUUUCAAACUGGAAGUCUAGAGUGCAGGAGAGGAGACUGGACUUCCUAGUGUAGCGGUGAACUGCGUAGAGAUUAGGAAGAACACCAGUGGCGAAGGCGAUUCUCUGGACUGUAACUGACGCUGAGUCUCGAAAGCGUGGGGAGCAAACAGGAUUAGAUACCCGUGUAGUC